rnacentral:lncRNA from 1 species
GGUUAAAUUUUGUUAAUGAUUUUUAUUUAUUAUGUUUAUCAUUUUUGUUUUGGCAUCAUUUUUUUAAGCUGAAGUUUGGGUCAGUUUAAUGCUAAAUGAUCUUUUAUUUAAUGUCCCCUUUAAAAAGUUGCAAUUUGCAUUUGACAGACUGUGGUCAUGCAGAAAAAAAAGGGAGCUUGUGUUACAAGAUUUGAAUACAUGGUGAUGUGGUUUUUUGGAAGCCAAUUGGACAAGUUUCCCUUAGGGCAAGAAACAUUACCCUGGCCAGACUGAUAUUUUGGACAGCCAUGAUUUUCACAAAGUUUUAAUGGCUGGGUCCUCUGAGAACAGACCAAAGCAUAUUGCGUGAGGCCAAGAGGAGAGUCCAGGCUACAAGUUAUUUCCAUUUUCAAGUAUGCAGACUAUUACUGUUCUGAUACAGCAAAUAAAUGAUUUAAUAUUGGAUAUUUCUUUGGAAAAUAGAUGCAACAAUGCUUAAAAAUUCCAUGUGCCUCUUUUUUUUGUCACUGUGCAGUGUACAGCUAUACUGUAAAAAGAUUGCUAAAAUAUAUAUUUUAGUAGCAGUGUGCACUAUUGGCUUAAAAUAAAGUGGAAAAUCUCAAAUGCAUGAAGAAAAAUUCAAAUAAAUGAAAUCUUUGAA